rnacentral:tRNA from 1 species
GCCCCUGUAGUUCAAUCGGAUAGAACAGCGGUCUACUAAACCGCAAGUUAAACGUUCGAGCCGUUUCAGGGGCA